rnacentral:rRNA from 1 species
GGAGAAGAAGCACCGGCUAACUACGUGCCAGCAGCCGCGGUGAUACGUAGGGUGCGAGCGUUGUCCGGAUUUAUUGGGCGCAAAGAGCUCGUAGGUGGUUUGUCGCGUCGGGUGUGAAAACAGACAGCUUAACUGUGUGCUUGCAUUCGAUACGGGCAGACUUGAGGGAUGUAGGGGAGAACGGAAUUCCUGGUGGAGCGGUGGAAUGCGCAGAUAUCAGGAGGAACACCGGUGGCGAAGGCGGUUCUCUGGACAUUUCCUGACGCUGAGGAGCGAAAGCGUGGGGAGCGAACAGGCUUAGAUACCCUGGUAGUCCACGCCGUAAGCGGUGGGCACUAGGUGUGGGGGACAUUCCACGUUCUCCGUGCCGUAGCUAACGCAUUAAGUGCCCCGCCUGGGGAGUACGGCCGCAAGGCUAAAACUCAAAGGAAUUGACGGGGGCCCGCACAAGCGGCGGAGCAUGCGGAUUAAUUCGAUGCAACGCGAAGAACCUUACCUGGGUUUGACAUGCACCAGACGACAGCAGAGAUGUUGUUUCCUUCGGGCUGGUGUGCAGGUGGUGCAUGG